UACAGAGGGUGCAAGCGUUAAUCGGAAUUACUGGGCGUAAAGCGUGCGUAGACGGUGAGGUAAGUUAGGUGUGAAAGCCCCGGGCUCAACCUGGGAAUUGCAUUUAAGACUGCUUCGCUAGGGUGCGGAAGAGGGAAGCGGAAUUUCCGGUGUAGCGGUGAAAUGCGUAGAUAUCGGAAGGAACAUCAGUGGCGAAAGCGGCUUCCUGGUCCAGCACCGACGUUCAGGCACGAAAGCGUGGGGAGCAAACAGG
rnacentral:rRNA from 1 species